rnacentral:misc_RNA from 2 species
ACCCCCUCAAGCCUUGCUUGGUGUUGGGCGUCUGUCCCGCCUCUGCGCGCGGACUCGCCUCAAAGCGAUUGGCGGCUGGUGCCCCGGCCUGGAGUGCAGCAGAAUUGCGCUCCCUGCGCGGGCCCGGCUCCCAGAAGCGACCUCACCCA